UAGGGGCAGUCACUCGCGUUCGUGGUGCUAAGCUGUGUGUCGAUAUCCCAGGAGACACAGAGCCCGAGAGAAUCUGUUUCUAGAAAAAGUAGUUUGUUUUAGCAAAAGCAACUGUAUUUUCUUGCAAAGUGCCCAUGUUAAUGCUGUGGUAAAAGUUACUUUGUGCACGGGCUUAAUUCUUCUUAAUGUUGAAGGUCCUGAUGUCAUUAUUAUUUCUUAGACUGGGUAACCUUUUUGUCACCAAGAGGCAGAACACGUUGACUUUCUAAGACAAGUUAUGAAAUAUAGCAACAUACAGAAAAGUACAUGAAAUAACAUGACCAACCACCACAAGUCCUCAAGACAAAGGGAGCAUGGUAGAGGGGGAGAAGGACAGCCUCGCGGGCCAGACUGCCCAUAUGUUGGCGCCCGCAGAAGUACGGGAUCUGGAGCAAAUACGUCACCUCCAAAAGAAACCUGUCCCCAUCGAAAGUCACUGUUACCUGUUACCUCAGCCCUUGGCGACCACCGAUCUGCUGUGUCCCUGUGGGCUUUCCUAUUCUGGACAUUUCAUAUAAAUGGAAUUUAUAAUA